rnacentral:rRNA from 1 species
UACGUAGGGAGCAAGCGUUGUCCGGAAUCAUUGGGCGUAAAGCGCGCGUAGGUGGCCUCAUAAGUCCGCUGUGAAAGUCAAAAGGCUCAACCUUUGAAAGCCGGUGGAUACUGUGAGGCUAGAGUACGGAAGAGGCGAGUGGAAUUCCCGGUGUAGCGGUGAAAUGCGCAGAUAUCGGGAGGAACACCAAUGGCGAAGGCAAGCUCGCUGGGACGGUAGUGACGCUGAGACGCGAAAGCGUGGGGAAGGCAAACAGGGAUUAAGAUAUCCC